CUGGCGGCGUGCUUAACACAUGCAAGUCGAACGAUGAUCCCAGCUUGCUGGGGGAUUAGUGGCGAACGGGUGAGUAACACGUGAGUAACCUGCCCUUGACUCUGGGAUAAGCCUGGGAAACUGGGUCUAAUACCGGAUACGACCAUCUGGCGCAUGUCAUGGUGGUGGAAAGCUUUUGUGGUUUUGGAUGGACUCGCGGCCUAUCAGCUUGUUGGUGGGGUAAUGGCCUACCAAGGCGACGACGGGUAGCCGGCCUGAGAGGGUGACCGGCCACACUGGGACUGAGACACGGCCCAGACUCCUACGGGAGGCAGCAGUGGGGAAUAUUGCACAAUGGGCGCAAGCCUGAUGCAGCGACGCCGCGUGAGGGAUGACGGCCUUCGGGUUGUAAACCUCUUUCAGUAGGGAAGAAGCGAAAGUGACGGUACCUGCAGAAGAAGCGCCGGCUAACUACGUGCCAGCAGCCGCGGUAAUACGUAGGGCGCAAGCGUUAUCCGGAAUUAUUGGGCGUAAAGAGCUCGUAGGCGGUUUGUCGCGUCUGCUGUGAAAGACCGGGGCUCAACUCCGGUUCUGCAGUGGGUACGGGCAGACUAGAGUGCAGUAGGGGAGACUGGAAUUCCUGGUGUAGCGGUGAAAUGCGCAGAUAUCAGGAGGAACACCGAUGGCGAAGGCAGGUCUCUGGGCUGUAACUGACGCUGAGGAGCGAAAGCAUGGGGAGCGAACAGGAUUAGAUACCCUGGUAGUCCAUGCCGUAAACGUUGGGCACUAGGUGUGGGGGACAUUCCACGUUUUCCGCGCCGUAGCUAACGCAUUAAGUGCCCCGCCUGGGGAGUACGGCCGCAAGGCUAAAACUCAAAGGAAUUGACGGGGGCCCGCACAAGCGGCGGAGCAUGCGGAUUAAUUCGAUGCAACGCGAAGAACCUUACCAAGGCUUGACAUGAACCGGUAAUACCUG
rnacentral:rRNA from 1 species